rnacentral:rRNA from 1 species
AAACCAGCACCUCAAGUGGUCAGGAGGAUUAUUGGGCCUAAAGCAUCCGUAGCCUGUUCUGUAAGUCUUCGGUUAAAUCCACUAGCUCAACUAGUGGGCUGCCGAAAAUACUGUAGAACUAGGGAGUGGGAGAGGUAGACGGUAUUCGGUAGGAAGGUGUAAAAUCCUUUGAUCUAUUGAGGACCACCUGUGGCGAAGGCGGUCUACCAGAACGCGUUCGACGGUGAGGGAUGAAAGCUGGGGGAGCAAACCGGAUUAGAAACCCGAGUAGUCC